rnacentral:rRNA from 1 species
GAUGAACGCUGGCGGCGUGCCUAAUACAUGCAAGUCGAGCGAACAGACGAGGAGCUCGCUCCUCUGAAGUUAGCGGCGGACGGGUGAGUAACACGUGGAUAACCUACCUAUAAGACUGGGAUAACUUCGGGAAACCGGAGCUAAUACCGGAUAAUAUAUUGAACCGCAUGGUUCAAUAGUGAAAGACGGUUUUGCUGUCACUUAUAGAUGGAUCCGCGCCGCAUUAGCUAGUUGGUAAGGUAACGGCUUACCAAGGCAACGAUGCGUAGCCGACCUGAGAGGGUGAUCGGCCACACUGGAACUGAGACACGGUCCAGACUCCUACGGGAGGCAGCAGUAGGGAAUCUUCCGCAAUGGGCGAAAGCCUGACGGAGCAACGCCGCGUGAGUGAUGAAGGUCUUCGGAUCGUAAAACUCUGUUAUUAGGGAAGAACAAAUGUGUAAGUAACUAUGCACGUCUUGACGGUACCUAAUCAGAAAGCCACGGCUAACUACGUG